rnacentral:rRNA from 1 species
UCCAAUCGAACUCGGAGAUAGCUGGUUCUCCCCGAAAUAGCUUUAGGGCUAGCGUUAUUUUAGAUUACCGGAGGUAAAGCACUGAAUGGUCUAGGGGCCGCGAGGUUACCAAAGCCUAUCAAACUCUGAAUGCCGGAUAAUUGAUGAAUAGCAGUCAGACUGUGUGAGAUAAGUCUCAUAGUCAAAAGGGAAACAGCCCAGAUCUACAGCUAAGGUCCCAAAUGAACACUAAGUGGAAAAUGAUGUGAAACUGCGAAGACAACCAGGAUGUUGGCUUAGAAGCAGCCACUCAUUCAAAGAGUGCGUAAUAGCUCACUGGUCGAGUGGUUUUGCGCAGAAAAUGUAACGGGGCUAAGUGUUCAACCGAAGCUUAGGCAUUGCAGUAAUGCAUUGGGUAGGGGAGCGUCGUAUGCGGGGCGAAGUCAGAGCGGAAGCACUGGUGGACUGCAUACGAGUGAGAAUGCCGGAAUAAGUAGCGAGAAUUAUGUGAGAAUCAUAAUGGCCGAAAAUCUAAGGUUUCUUGGGGAAGGUUCGUCCGCCCAAGGUUAGUCGGGAGCUAAGCUCAGGCCGAAAGGCGUAGGCGAUGCACAUACGGUAGAAAUUCCGUAACCACCGAACAUUUAAGCUAGAGGGACGCUUUCUUUAAGGUUAUCCCGGGCGAUGGUUGCCCCGGGCGUAAGGGACCGAAAUAUAGUAGGGAAGUAACUGGCGAGAGAGACGAGAAAAGCUCUAGUGUAUACUAAGGUGCCCGUACCGCAAACCGACACAGGUAGAUGGGAUGAGUAUUCUAAGGCCAACGGGAGAAGGGUUGUUAAGGAACUCGGCAAAUUGGCCCCGUAACUUCGGGAUAAGGGGCGCCUGCGAGAGCAGGCCGCAGUGAAAAGGCCCAAGCGACUGUUUAGCAAAAACACAGCUCUCUGCUAAAUCGAAAGAUGACGUAUAGGGGGUGACGCCUGCCCGGUGCUGGAAGGUUAAGGGGAGUGCUUAGCGCAAGCGAAGGUGCGAACUUAAGCCCCAGUAAACGGCGGCCGUAACUAUAACGGUCCUAAGGUAGCGAAAUUCCUUGUCAGGUAAGUUCUGACCCGCACGAAUGGCGUAACGAUUUGGGCACUGUCUCAACAGCCCGCCCGGCGAAAUUGUAGUACCGGUGAAGAUGCCGGUUUCCCGCAACUAGACGGAAAGACCCCAUGGAGCUUCACUGUAGCUUGAUAUUGGAUCUCGGUAUUCCAUGUACAGGAUAGGUGGGAGGCUAGGAAGCGAGCGCGCCAGCGUUCGUGGAGCCAACCUUGGGAUACCACUCUUGGGAUAUUGGGAUUCUAACCUGCGACCAUGAAUCUGGUCGGGGGACACUGUCAGGUGGGCAGUUUGACUGGGGCGGUCGCCUCCAAAAGAGUAACGGAGGCGCUCAAAGGUUCGUUCAGCACGGAUGGAAAUCGUGCACUGAGUGUAAACGCAUAAACGAGCCUAACUGCGAGAAUGACGGUUCGAGCAGUAACGAAAGUUGGAGUUAGUGAUCCGGCGGUAUGUGAAUGGAAAUGCCGUCGCUCAACGGAUAAAAGCUACCCUGGGGAUAACAGGCUGAUCUCCCCCA